rnacentral:rRNA from 1 species
GCUUGUCUCAAAGAUUAAGCCAUGCAUGUCUAAGUAUAAACGAUUUUAUACGUGAAACUGCGAAUGGCUCAUUAUAUCAGUUAUAGUUUAUUUGAUGGUUCUUGCUACUUGGAUAACCGUAGUAAUUCUAGAGCUAAUACAUGCGUCAAUCCCUUUGGGGUGUAUUUAUUAGAUUGAAACCAAAGCGGGGUAACCCGGAACCUGGUGAUUCAUAAUAACUUUCGGAUCGCUUUUUGCGAUGCAUCAUUCAAGUUUCUGCCCUAUCAGGUUUGGAUGGUAGGGUAUUGGCCUACCAUGCCAGUGACGGGUAACGGAGAAUUAGGGUUCGAUUCCGGAGAGGGAGCCUGAGAAAUGGCUACCACAUCCAAGGAAGGCAGCAGG